GAGGGGAGGGGAGGGGCGCCCGCGGUCCCCCUGCGCCCCGCUCCUGGGUUCGCGGGGUCCCCGCAGCCAGGCCGGGGACAGGGCGUCUGCCGGGCGCGCGGGCGACGGAGGUGCCGGGGCCCCGGGAAGGGCUGCGUCUGAGCAAAGAUGGGGGGCGGCUGUGGCCUGGGUGGGACCCCCCCCCCCGGGCCUCUGCAGGGUGCCAGGGGGUGCAGAGAACCCGAGGUCCUUUGUUCCUCCGACUCGGAGCAGGAUGCCAGGGGGCUGGGCUUCCGAGGUGAACGUGGGGCCCAAGAUCCCAGGUGGAGCUCCGGCUGGGGGUCAGACGCGGGGGUCCCCCCGGGAAGGUCUGCGGGGAAGAGAUCCCAUCCGUGGGCUCCAAGGGGUGGAAGGAGAAGCUCGCAGCUCUGAGCCCGGGGGCAACCAGAAGAUGAUACAGGACCCAGAGCGGAGGCUCAGCCCUGUGCAGCCCUGAGCUGGGGGGCAGCGGGCAGGGGGCGGGUAGGAGCAGGCCUCAGGCCUCAGGCCUCAGGCCUCAGGGCCCCGCUCGCUGGGCAUCCCCCACUAAGGUGAGCAGGGGUCCAAGAGGACUGGGGGGUGUUUGAGGUGCAGAGGAGGAUGGGGACUCGGACACAAUGUAGUGUCAGGGGGCUGUAUGUACCGCAUGGAUCUUAGGGACCAACAGGAGGACCGAUUAGGGGCGGGCCACGGGGACCCCAGCAUGAGGCUGGAGCCUGGGAGUCUGUGAGGUGUCUGGGGAAGAUGCAGCUGCUGCAGCCUGGACCUGUCUAUACCUGCCCCAAGAGGGAGGGCGGCCGGAGGACUUCCCAGAAUGCCAUGCAGCCAGCUUCAGGCCGGCCCCAGCCAGAGGGAAAGGAGGUUCUGGAAAGAAGUCCUGAGGCACAGGAUUAUCAGGAAGUCACAGGCUGGAGCGUGCAGCAGCCUCGAUCUCUCAGGAGAGGUAUUUUUAAGGCCGUUUCAUUAUUCGGAUUUAGAGACGCCCAGGUGAGUGGUCGGGACUGUUUUCCCCCCAUCUUCAACGUGGACCUCCUGCUUUGCAUUUUUCCCUUAAUGCUCAAACCCAAAGAGAAGGGAUCCUUUUUCUUCUCUCUGGGGGGUGCCCGGAACCAGAUCUGGAGGGGCCGGGUGACAGGCGGAGGAAUCAAGGCCUCCUUCCACCCCUUCCAUCAUCUCAUCACCUAA
rnacentral:lncRNA from 1 species